GAGAGCUGGGUACUGUGGUGCUGGAACGACGUGUGCAACUGGGCCUUUAUCUGGGGGAUAGCCUUUCGAAAGUGAAGAUUAAUACCCAUAAUAUGUUGAAUUGGAUCAUUCGGGGUUGAAAACUCCGGUGGAUAGAGAUGGGCACGCGCAAGAUUAGAUAGUUGGUGAGUGUAACGGCUCACCAAUGUCUACGAUCUUUAUGGGGCCUGACAGGGUGAUCCCCCAAACACUUGGUCACUUGAGGAACACCGNGACCCCACGACUCCCUUAACCGUGCGAGGGCACNACACACGUUGACGUGACAUUAUCUUGGGACACACUCGNGGCUGCAGGAGGCCCUGGGAUACCCAGUNCCAUUCCNCCGCACGUUGGGAGAACAACNUUGGGGAACAGGCAACCUUUGGGGCCCGCGCCNCAACAAUUACNGGGGGGCAUGAAUGGGCGNGCACACACACCCACGUGCCCGCCGAGCGUACUACGGGGCGCACCCAAACAGCANGCAGNGCAGAUCUAGCNAAACGCANCACCCCUGAAAACCGAACACCCAANCCAACAGGACAGGCCNCAAGCGGGGGACACGCACCAAGCCCCGUCCGCCGG
rnacentral:rRNA from 1 species